rnacentral:rRNA from 1 species
AUGGAUGUGCGCGAGGGGACGCGGAGGAUGAGGGGUGCUUCCAUCCCUGCUCCGCUCGAGGGGGAUGGCGAGAGCCUGCUGCUGAUGUAUCUGCCUCAGCCGGCGCCGGCGUCGGCGUCGGCGGCGAUGAUGCCCACGCCGCCGCCCUCGUUGGAGGACUUCGAAGCUUUAGGAGAAGAUGGCAAGCCGUUGUGGCCGUCCAAGGAAUUCCUCCGGCAGAUGUUGGUGGCCAUCGCCCCGACCGGAUCGAUUCUGCCCACUGUCAAAUUAAUUACUACGAGUAGCUUUCUUUCUACUCGAUCGUACUACGAGUAG